rnacentral:lncRNA from 1 species
UGUACUGAACACCAGUCUACCUAAUCUUACUCUGCGAUGAUUUCGAUGAAGAUUGUCCCCAUUAGCUUUCUCGCUGUCGCUAUUAUGCUCACCUGCGAGUUCGAUGUCUCCAGUGCGUCUCCUCACAAGUGGAGCUCUCCGGCGGUUUGUAUUAGGACGAAGUCCUGCACUCCUAAAAGUGUCUUAGAGGACUGCGGACCGGGCUGUCAGUGUACUUACUACAGACCCCCAGGCCCACCGGAGACUCAGAAAGGACCAGCGUUAAUGACGUGCUCAGGAGCUUGAUAAUAUUUUCCGCUGCGCAGUAGUA